rnacentral:rRNA from 1 species
UACGAAGGGGGCUAGCGUUGUUCGGAAUUACUGGGCGUAAAGCGCACGUAGGCGGAUAUUUAAGUCAGGGGUGAAAUCCCAGAGCUCAACUCUGGAACUGCCUUUGAUACUGGGUAUCUUGAGUAUGGAAGAGGUGAGUGGAAUUCCGAGUGUAGAGGUGAAAUUCGUAGAUAUUAGGAAGAACACCAGUGGCGAAGGCGGCUCACUGGUCCGGUACUGACGCUGAGGUGCGAAAGCGUGGGGAGCAAACAGGG